rnacentral:rRNA from 16 species
ACAAUAAAAAAAAAAUAAAAAAAUAAAAAAGAUAAAAAAAAUUAAAAAAAAUCAA